UUUGCCACUUUCCAAUGCUCUUGAGCAAGGCACUUAACCUUUCUGAUGACCACUUUUCUUGUCCAUUAAAGGGAAGAAUAGUCCUUGCCUAGAAUAGAGUGAUUGUGAUGACCAAAUAAGACCUUCUGUGUAAAAUCUCCUUGCAAAUUGUGAAGCAAGAGAUUGACAAGUGGACAACGUGAAGGUGGCAGUUAUUUCCAGCUACAGGUGCUUGAGAAUGAGACACUAGCCCACCUCAGAGGGCUGCUGAGAGCUUGAACAUGAUGGAAAUUGUCAUAAAUGCCAUGACGCCUGCUAUCAUGAGGAUACAAAAGAGAGACUGCGGAGUCCUGCCUUGGAAGGAGUUGGGGGAACAGAGAGGUUUCCUGAAGGAAAUGAAGUGUAUCUUUGGUGAUGAAAAAAAGCAGGUACAUCCCAAGUAGAGAGAUAUAGAGAGGGAUUUGUAGGGUAGCUAAGAGUAUUAAUGGUGCAAUAAUGUCCACAAAUCGUCCAAACCUUUACUCUCCUGACAAUGGGGCUGGGCAGCAAUUUGUGGGCAUAUGUUGGCUGUAGAGACCUCUGCUGCAGGAAGGUACGAAAUUCUCUUAGAGCACCGUGGAGGGAACAGAAACUGACUAACUACGCAUGCCUACAGACCUCCGCAGCAGAACUUUGCAGCACGUUUGAUGUGAUCUCGAGAUGGUCAAAUCUCCCCCACAAACUAAAUGUAACCACUCUUCUCCACCUCUACUUCCACUUCCUUUCUUCCUUCUACGGGUCCACAUGUGUAGGGAGAAAGAAGUCUUCCUUAGAGGCAGGGGUGGAGAUACAGAAGAUGACAAAGUGGAGGCAGUUGGAGGAGGAGGGGGGAGGAGGAUUUUACUUCACCCGUCCUAAACUAAAUCAUUGUCCAUUGAAGACCAGCUCCUGGGAAAUGAAAGGGCCCCCGGGUGACACAGCCACGCCCCACUAUAAAAAUAAUUCUGAGACCGCUAAGGUUCAGUAAGGUAGUUGAAGCUUUUAUCAACUCCUGAGGUUAAGAGGGAAUGGCGGGGCGGAGGCAGAGGAGAAAAGAAAGCCUCAGAGCGCUGGGCGAAGAUGCCAAUCAGAAAAGGGGAAAUUCAUUUGCGAUGUUAAUUAACAAGCGGCUAAUUAAAACGGCACUUUGAGUGCUAAUCAAUCGCCUUAUUAAGUUAGAGCCAUCACUGGAACAAAUUGAAAGCUCCCCGCCCCGGCUCCUGCUUCUGGUGCGGGCGGGGCUGGAUUCCCCAGACCUAGCGGGGUAGGCGACCGCUCAGGCAGCCGCUGAGGUCCAUAGAAUCUCCAACUGCCAGAUUCAACCCCGCGGAACUGCCCGCUCCUGCCCUGGGACCUGAUGAACUGGACCAGUGUCUAGGAGGCGAUUUCUAGUCCAGACGCACCGGGCAGGGGAGAAGGGAUUGCGUGCGAGAACAACGGGAUCAGCUAAUGGGGACUUUGCUUCCCCGGAAGGAGCUCCCAAAAAGGUGCAGAAAUUCGAACUGUGGGCCGCAAGCAGGGAGAGGAAGCAAUUCAGCCCGAGAGGGGGCGCUCUCUGGCCAGGACCACGCAUCCCCAUUUCCCGGCACCCAGCGAUCGCUUUACUUUCAACGCUCUUAGGCCCUUGCCCACAUCCAUCUCAGCAACCAGGAAAGAACUGGCGGGUCUUCAGGCAGCAAGGACAGGGUAGCUAGCCACCUCGGCUCGGUCUCCUUGGACUCCUCAAGAACCGUGUGGGAUGCGUAAAGGGGAGAGGGACUGGGUGUGCUAAUCAUCUGGGACGCGGGCACACCACGUCCAGCCACUAACGUGCCUCCCAGCCAACCCAUUCGCGUUUCCUCAUGCCUUUGGUCUUCCAAAUUCGCUAAGAGAAUUAAGAUUUUGAAUCUCUAUUUUGAGGCGCCUUCCCCACUUCCUAAUUGUUAAAUGCCUACUUUUCACCAAAUUCCCAAGGGAGAAGUAGUUGGCAACAAGAGGGGGCUGUGAAUUUAAAUGCUAAUUAAAUGGGUCCUUCUCCUGCAACUCCACCUGCCUGGCGGCCCUAGUUAAAGCAGAAUGCACCGGGCGCACACACCUCAACAUUCCUGGGGUGCAGAGCAGAAGCUCAGUUGAAGAGGGACUCCGGCGGACUCCUGUAUGGUUUGCUUCUUACGGCCUGCUACGGGGG